UACAGAGGGGGCAAGCGUUGUUCGGAAUUACUGGGCGUAAAGGGCGCGUAGGCGGCCUGCUAAGUCGAACGUGAAAUCCCUGGGCUCAACCCAGGAACUGCGUCCGAUACUGGUUGGCUUGAAUCCGGGAGAGGGAUGUGGAAUUCCAGGUGUAGCGGUGAAAUGCGUAGAGAUCGGGUGGAACACCAGCGGCGAAGGCGGCAUCCUGGCCCUGUACUGACGCUGAGGCGCGAUAGCGUGGGGAGCAAACGGG
rnacentral:rRNA from 1 species